rnacentral:lncRNA from 1 species
UGGGAAUAUAAGAGCUGGGAUUGCUGCCUGUCUUUCAGGUUGCCUGACAUUUUUCACUACAAUUUGAUAUUUUCAGUUACCAACUUAAUCAUUCUGGCUGAAAAUUUUCAUGAAAACCUUAAAAGGAAGAAGGUUUUGUGGUGUGGAAACCAUAAAACAAAAUGUAACUGAGCAGCUUUUAGCGAUUCCACAAAUUGCUUAUCAGAGGUGCUUCCAACAAUGGCAGAAACACUGGAAAAAGUGUGUGGCUGAAGAAGAAGCAUACUUGAAGGAGAUUAAGCUGAAGCCCCUGUACAGGAAACCCUCUUCAUUUGCAGAUUUGCAAUUCACGGUUUCAAAUAUUUGCGGUGCGCUGUAUCGACCCAUGCUCUCUCCCCCCCGCAGUGUGAUGACACUUUGUUACUGCACUCUGGUGAUACUUUUACAUUCAGUAUGUUGCAGUAUUUCAGCAUUAAUCCAUACCCUUAAUCAUGGUACCUAAAAGAAAAGUGAAUGAUAGUGCAGCGAGUGAAGUGAGGAUUCAGCCAUAGUUUCAUAGUAGCUAGGGUCAGGAGGGACCUGAACAGAUCAUCUAGCCUGACCCCCUGCCCCAGGCAGGAAUGAAUGCUGGUUCACAAGACCCCAGACAGGUGAUCAUCCAACCUCCUCUUGAAUUUGCCCAAGGUAGGGGCGAGGACCACUUCCCUGGGAAGUUGAUUCCAGAUUUUGGCCACCCUAACUGUAAAAUAUUGCCUUCUGAUCUCUAACCUAAACCUAUUCUCCAUCAGCUUAUUACCAUUGUUCCUCGUCACCCCACGUGGUGCUGGGGAGAAAAGGGCUCUUCCUAUUUGCUGAUGAUCUCCCCUGAUGAGUUUGUACGCAGCCACCAGGUCUCCCCUCAGCCUCCUCUGGCCAAGGCUGAACAGGUUCAGGUCCCUCAGUCCCUAGGGCCUGUCCUGCUGCCCUCUCACGAAGCGGGUGGCCCUCCUCUGAACUCUGUCCAGGCUGGCUACAUCCUUUUUGAAGUGCAGCGCCCAGUACUGGACGCAGUACUCCAACUGUGGCCUGACCAAUGUUGCAUAGAGGGGGAGUAUCA